AUUCAAAAACAUAUAUUUUCUCCUUGUUAAUAGAUCAUUGUUUCAAUUAUACUACUCUAAUGUACAUAUAUAAUGUAUUAUUCUUUGUGUUUUAAAAUGCUUAUAUGACUGAUGGGUAUGUUCUUACAUACGUAAUAAAAGGAGAACGUCACUAGAGUACAUUUAAGGUAAAUCUGCCUUGGGCUCGUCCUACAGACUGAAUGUGUUUCCCUAAGGUUGGUGAUGAAAUCUAUUGCUCUAAUGUGAUGGUAUUUGGAGCUGGUUCCUUCAAGAGGUGAUUAGGUCAGUGGGUGGAUCCCUUAUCAGUGGAAUGAGUACCUUUAGAAAAGAGACCCCAGAGAGCUCUGUCACCCCUUCUUCCAUGUGAGGACAUGGUAAGAAAAUGAAUCAGAAGAGGGUUUCUGUGAACUAGAAAAUGGGUGCUCAUUAGGCAACCAAGAGUUUUUAAUUCCUAGCCUCCAGAACUGUGAGAAAUUUCUGUUGUUUAUAAGCCCCUUAGUCUGUGGUAUUUUUGUUGUAGCAUCCUGAAUGGAAUGCUUCGAAAGUUGGUACUGAGAAGUGGGGGACUGCUGUAACAAAUAUCGAAACAUGUAGAAGUAGCUUUGGAACUGGGUUUUGAGGAACACGUUAGAAAAAGCCUAUCUUACUGUGAAUGGACCUUUAAAGGGGAUGCUGGUGAGGACUCAGAAAGAAAAGAGGAGAGCCGUAGAGAAAGUCUUAAUAUUCUUAGAGAAUACAUAAGUAAUCUGAAUAGAAUGUUGGUAGAAAUAUGUAUGAUAAAGGCCAUUCUGAUGAGGUCUCAGACAAAAAUGUGAGACAUGUUACUGGAAAUUAGAGGAAAAGCAACCGUGGUGAAGUGGCGUUGACCUUAAAAAACAAAAGAGCCAGUUAUUUUAUCAGCAAAAUGACUUUAUUUAGGAAGAGCAGAGGAAUGGCAGUUUGGGACCAGCAAACUCUAGAGAACCACAGACAACUUCAGAGAACAGAGGAAAGGGCUUACUUUUAUAGGAGAAAGGAGGAAGCUGGGAGGAGCGGUUUUCUCGGAGUCCUUAUUGGCUGGGUUUUGCUGGGCGGGAGCAAGUCUUUCUUCUGCUGGGGCGUGUAAAGUAAGCCUCUUCCUGUCAGGGAGUGUGAUGUAGGCUUAGGGCAGGUAGUAAUGUGGGGGAGCUUCCCCUUCAGGGCUGCCUACUCCAUUUUAUUAUAUUUUAUUAUAUUAUAUUAUAUUUUAUUUUAUUAUAUUUUAUUUUAUUUUAUUAUUUCAUUUUAUUUUAAUUUAAUUUAAUUUAAUUUAAUUUAAUUUAAUUUUAUUUUAUUUUAUUUUAUUUUUUCCUACUCCAUUUUAAAUGAAGUUUCCUUUUUUUCAUAGUGGAAAAGAACUUGCCUGAAUUGUGUUUUAGUGUUUUGGUGAAAAUAGAACUUGUGAGCAAAGAAAUCAGAUGUAUUUACCUAAGCAAACUCUCGAAGGUGUGGGUUGACUCCUCCUGACUGACUGCUUUAGUAAAACGCGAACAGAAAGAUGGAACCGUUAAGCAAAAAGGAAGGCGAACUGAAAAGAUUUGUAAAAUUCUCAGUCUUUCCAUGUUGCAAAAAGUGAGAAAGUGGUUAGAAGAGAGCACUAAGGAUGUGGCCAGUGGACCAUUUAAGAUUUGUGUAGCUCAGCUGUUUCUACAUUCGCUAGGAGCUUUGAUGGGACAGGCCUCUCCCGUCACAGCUCCUAGUGCCGGGGCCCGCCCUGGGGAGCAGAGUGCUUUCAGAGCAAAAGCUGCCAGAGCUUGGAGACCUGCUUGCUGCCUGGUGCUGCCUCACUCUGAGGGCUCUUCUUGGAGCACUGCCGGCCCCAGGUGCAGCCCCUGCCUUCCAGAGGGUGCAGGCAGCAAACUUUGAUGGAGGGUAUUGUUUCCAGCAGGGAAGAGUGUACAGGCUCAGGGGACGUGGCUGCCUCCACCUGGAUUUCAAAGGAUGGAGCCACCCAAAACCAUUAGGUACUGGGCUGCCUGGAGCCUCGGGGCCCAGCCUCUGCCGGGUAAAGCUGCUUGGACAGGACUUGCCCCAGUGGGUCCUGUAGGCAAGCCCUCUGUCCUAGGGGUCCUUGACCACAGCUUAUCAUGUCAAAGAGGAUUAUUAUAGAGCCUUAAGGUCUAAUGGAACUUGCCCUGUUGGGUUUUAGACUUGUUGGGGAUCUAUCACUCUUUUCUUGUUUUCUCUGUCUCCCUUCUGGAGCAGAAAUGUCUGUUUUAGGAAGCAUUUAACUUGUUCGAUUUCACUGACUCACAGCCAGAGUGCAGUUUACCUCAGGUUGAAUGGUACCUUGAGUCUCACUCACAUAAGAUUUAGUUGAUAUUCAGGUGAGACUUAGAACUUUAGACUUUUGAGUUGAUGCUGGAAUGAAUUAGGACUUUUUGGGGCUGUCGGAAUGGAAUGAAUAUAUUUUUAAUGUGAAAAGGAUGUGAAUUUGGGGGUACCAAGGGCAAAAUGGUAAGUUUCAAUUGCCGUAUCUUCUCAUCUACUUACCUUCUGCAGUUUUUACUCUAGACGUUUUAUUUGGGAUGCUUUUUAAUAAUUGCCAUUACCUCAUCAUGUUCAUUUUUUUCCCUCAUUUUUUUUUUAUUAAGUGGAAUAUAUCGUAGUACCUGAUUUAACUUUCUUGGUUGGUAAUUCUGCCAUGUCUGUCAUUUCUUGCUAUCCUACUGAUUGAUGUUUCUUCUAGUUAUGGGUCAUAUUUUCCUGCUGUUUUGAAUGCCUACAAUUUUUUAUUGGAUGGUGGAUAUUAUAAUGUAAAUUUGUAACUUACAUUGUUGCCUGCUGGAUUUUAUUAUAUUCUUUAGUGCUGGCCUUUUUCUGGCACUGUUAGGUAAUGGGUGGUUUACCUAGCUGCUUUUGAGAGCUUCUUUAUCUUCGUCUUCCCCUCCUCCUUUUCCUUCUCCUUCCUUCUUUUGUUAAAUAAUUCAAUAUUUUUAGUAUAUUCACAGAGCUCUACAAUCAUGUCAGUUUUCACCACCCCCAGAAAGAAACCUCUUACCCAUCAGCAGUCACUUUCCAUGUCUUCCCCAACUCCCCCCAACCACAAAUCUACUCCUAAGAAUUUGUACACUUGGGACAUUUCAUAUAAGUGGAAUCAUGCAGGCCACAUGUGCUUUUUGUGACAAGGAGUUGAAUUCCUGAGUCAUAUCAUAACUUUGUGUUUGAUCUUUUGAGGAACCGCCCUCAUGUUUUCAAGGCAUCUGCAUCAUUUUACAUUUCCAAUAGCAGAGUAUGAAGGUCCCAAUUUCUCUACAUCUUGAUUAACACUUGUUACGACCUUUCUUUUUGAUAAUAGACAUACUAGUGGGUGUGAAGUGAUAUCUCAUUGUGGUUUUCUUGAAAAAUCUUUAUAGAUAAAUAAUUCACAUAUCAUACAUUUCAUACUUUUAAAAAGUGUAUGGUAAAGUAAUUUUUAGUAUCUCCAGUUGAUUUUAGAACAUUUUUUCACCCCAAAAGAAGCUCUGUGCUUAUUGGCUAUCACUCUCUCACCCCCUCUUCCUUCUUUAGUCUUAGGCAUCCCCUAAUCUAUGUUCUGUCUCAAUAAAUUUGUCUAUCUAGAUAUUUCAUACAGAUGGAGACAUAUAAUAUGUGACCUUUUAUUACUGGCUUCUUAUACUCAUAAUUCCCACCCCAAGGAAAUCUUUAGUAAAAGGUGAAAGAUUUAUGUGAUCUGGAGAGAAACUCCAGACCGUUAAACUCAUAGAAUUUUCAUGAAGUUCAUCCGUAUUUUUUUUUUGCAUGUAAUCUAUUUAUUUAUUUAUUAAUAUGAAAUUUGUUGUCAGAUUGGUUUCCAUACAACACCCAGUUCUCAUCCCAACAGGUGCCCUCCUCAAUACCCAUCACCCACCCUCCCCUCCCUCCCACCCCUCAUCAACCCUCAGUUUGUUCUCAGUUUUUAAGGGUCUCUUAUGUUUUGGCUCCCUCCCUCUCUAACCUUUUUUUUUUUCCUUUCCCUCCCCCAUGGUCUUCUGUUAAGUUUCUCAGUUCACCCAUAUUGUAACAUCUGUCAGUAGUUAAUUCUUUCAUGGCUGAAUAGUAUGCUGUUGUGUGGAUAAUACCACGUAUUGUUUAACCGUUGAUCAUUUGAUGGACAUUUUGGCUGUUUCUGCCUUUUGUCUGUCAUGAAUAACGUUUCUAUGAACAUUUGUGUACAGUGUGGACAGGUGAUUUCAUUUCUGCAUAUAUACCUAGGAGUGGAAUUGUGGGUCACAUCGUAACUCUAUGGUUCCUUUUUGAGGAACCACCAGACUGUUUUCCAAAGUGGCUGCACCAUUUUACAUUCACACCAGUAGCGUGUGAGGGUUCUGAUUACUCCACAUCCCUAAUAACACUUGUUGUUAUAUGACCUUUUAAAAAUUCUAUCCAUUCUAUUGGGUGUAAAGUGGUAUCUUGUUGUAGUUUUGAUAUAUAUAUUUUUUCUGAUUAGCAGUUCUUUUGGGUAUCUUUGCCUGGCUUACUGGCAACUGUGUAUCUUCUUUGGAGAAAUGUCUAUUCAAAUCCUUUGUCCACUUUUAAAAUGUUUGUUUGUUACUGAGUUGUUAAUAGUUAUAUUUUCUAGAUCCCUUAUCAGAUACUGUAUGAUUUGGAAAUCUUUUCUCCCGUUUUAUGUUUUGUCUUUUCACUGUCUGGAUCUGGAUAGUGUUCUUUGAAGCAAAGAUCUUUAAUUUUAACGAAGCCUCAUUUGUUUAUUUUUGUUGUUGUUGCUUGUGUUUUUGUGUCAUAUCUAAGAAUUCAUUACCAAAUCAAGUUCAUGUGGAAUUUCCCCUGCAGUUUCUUCUAGGAGUUUCCUAGUUUAAGGUUUGCGCCCCUUUAAGUUCAUUUUUGCUGAUGGUUGAGGGUAGGGAUCCACUGUCAUUCUUUUGCAUGUGAAUAUACACCUGUUACUGACUUCCCCCACUUUAUAUAGUGUUUAUAAGGUUCAUACAUGUUGUACCAUGUAUCAGUACAUAAUUCUUUUAUGGAUGAAUGAUAUUCAGCUAAAUAGUAUCAAAUAUAUGAUACAAUAUGGAUAAACUUUAUAAGUAUUGAGUGAAGUGUAAGAAGCCAGUAUCAAAUGGAUAUCUACAUGCAAAUCCCAGCAUCAUUUGAUGAAGAGGCUGUGAGUUCCCAUACUCAGUAGUCUCAGAACCCUUGUCAAAGCAUCAUUUGGCCAUAGAUGAGUGGGUUUGUUUCUGGAUUUUCAAUUCUGUUUCAUUGGUCUAUAUGUCUUAAUGCCAGUACCAUACUCUCUGUAUCACUAUAGUUUUGUAGUAAGUUUUGUAAUCAGUGUGAGUUUUCUAACUUUCUUGUUCUUUUUCAAAAUUGUUUUGAUCUUUCCUAGUCCCUUUAAUUUUUAUAUUAAUUUUAUGAUUAGCUUGUCAAUUUCUGCAAUAAAGACAGCUGAGAUUUCUAUAGGGAUUACCUUGAAUAUAUAGGUCGGUUUGGGGACUACUACUAUCUCAUUGAAAUAAGUCUUCCAAUCCAUGAACAUGAAAUAUCUUUUUGUCUAUUUGGGUCUUCUUUAAUUUUUUUCUGCAGUGUUUUAUAGUGCUCAAUGUAUAAGUCUUACCUCUUAAAUUUAUUUAUAGGUAUUUUAUUCACUUGGAUGCUGUUGUAAAUGGAAUUGUUUUUAUUAUACUUUUUUGGAUUGUUCAUUGUUCAUGUAUAGAAAUAGAGCUGAUUUUUACCUGUUGAUCUUAUGUCCUUUAACUUUGUUGAAUUCAUUUAUAGGCUCUGACAUUUUUUUGGAGGGGUUAACUAUUUUCUGUAUAUAAGAUCAUAUCAUGGGCCAAUAAAGACAAUUUUGAUUCUUCCUGCCCAAUUUGGGUGUCUUUUAUUUUCUUGCCUAAUUGCUCUAGCUAGAACUCUCAUUGCAGUGGUGAAGGUAGGCAUCCUUGUCUUGUUUGUGAUUUUAAGGAUAGAUUUUUAGUCUUUCACUGGUGAUUAUGAUAUUGUUUGUGGGUGUUUCAUAAGUGCUAUUUAUCAGGUUCAGGAAAUUACCUUCAAUUCUUAUUUAAGUAUUUUUUUUAACUCAUUAAGGAGUAUAGAGUUUGUUACUUUUUGUGUAUAAAUCGAGAUGGUCAUUUUUUUUCUUUCAUUACAUUGGUUAUUUUACUAUCUGGAACCACCCUUUUAUUCCUGGGAUAAAUCCCACCUGUACAUGGUAUAUAAUUCUUUUAAUAUUUUGCUGGAUGUGGUUUGCUACUAUUUUGUUGAGGAAAUUUGCAUCUAUAUUCAUGAAGGAUAUUGGUCUGUAGUUUUCUUGUAGUGUCUUUGUUUGGCUUUGGUAUCAGGGUAAUGCUGGACUAAUUAAGUUGUUUAGGAACUGUUACUUUUUCUUUUUUUUUUUUUUUUGAAGAUUUUGAGAAAGAUUUAUUGUCAUUUUUCUUUAAAUGCUUGAUGGAAUUGUCCAGUGAAGCCAUCUGGUUCUGAGCUUCUCUUGGGAAGUUUUUGAUUAUGGAUUUAAUCUCUUCAUCUUGUAUAGGUCUAUUUAUAGUUUCUGCUUUUUUCUUAAAUGAGCUUUGAUAGAUUGUGUGUUUCUAGGGAUUUUUCCAUUUUAUCUAGGUCAUCUAAUUGUUGGCAAAUAUUUUUUCAUCAUAUUUUAUUACAUUCUUUUUAUUUCUGUAAUGUUGAUAGUGUUGUCCUCACUUUCAUUUCUGAUUUUGGUAGUUUGAAUCUUUUCUCUUUCUUUCUUGUUUAGUUUAGCUAAAGGCUUGUCAGUAUUCUUUAUUUUUUUCAAAUAAACAAUGUUUGGUUUCAUUCUUUUUUUUUUCCCCCUGAAUUGCUUUUCUAUUCUCUUUGCCUGUAGUGUUUAUUAUUUUCUUUUUUCUAUUGGCUUUGGGUUUAGUCUCCUUUUUUCAAAGUUACUAAUGGUAUCUAGGGAGAUUAUUGAUUUGAGAUCUUUAUACUUUUUUAAUAUAGAUGUUUACAGUAUAAUUUCCCUCUAUCUGGUUUUGCUGAAUCCAGUAUUUUGAUAUGUUGGUUUUUUUGCUUUUAUUUUUCUCUAUGUAUUUUCUAAUUUCCUUUGUGAUUUAUUCUUUGACCCAUUGUUCGUGUGUUAAUUUUCACACAUUUGUGAAUUUUCCAGUUUUUCUUUCGUUAUGGUUUCUAGUUUCAUUCCAUUUUUGUCAGAGAAGAUAUUUUGGAUGAUUUCAGUCCUUAUAAGUGUAUUCAUAUUUCUUUUGUGACCUAACUUAUGGCCUAUUCUUGUGAAUAUUCCAUUUACAUUUGUGAAAAAUGUAUAUUCUGCUUUUGUGGGGUUGUAUUCUGUAUAUGUCUAUUAGUUGAUUUAUAGCACAAUUCAGUUUUUCUUACUGUUUUUUCUUAUUGUUCUUCAGUCUUGUUUUACUGUCUUUUUAAAAAUUUUUUAAGUUUAUUUAUUUUGAGAGAGAGCACAAGCAGGGUAGGGGCAUAGAGAGAAGGGAGAGAGAGAGAAUUCCAGGCAGGCACUUGCUGUCAGUGCAGGGUCCGAAGUGGAGCUCGAACUCGUGAACUGAGAGGUCAUGACCUGAGCCGAAGGCAGAUGCUUAACCCACUGAACCACCGAGGCACCACUCGUUUUUCUGUCUUAUUGAGAACGGUGUAUUGAACUUUUCAGGUAUUAUUGCUGAAUUGUCUAUUUCUCCUUUCAGUUUUCAUUUUUUGGUUUACAUGUUACAUCUUUUGGGGCUAAUUUCUUACGUAUGUAUAUGUUUAUAUUUACAUUUUCUUAAGGAUUUAAAUUUUCAUAAUGCUCUUUGUCUUUUGUAAACUUUUGACUUAAAAUCUGUUUUGUCUGAUAUUAGUAUAGCCAUCCCGGCUUUUUUUUUAUUAAAAAAUUUUUUUUAAAUGUUUAGUUUUGAGAGAGAGAGAGAGAGAGCGAGCAGGGGAGGGGCAGAGAGAGGGGGAGACACAGAAUUCAAAGCAGGCUCCAGGCUCUAAGCUGUCAGCAAAGAGUCCGACAUGGGGCUUGAACUCGCAGACUGUGAGAUCGUGAACUGAGCCCAAGUCAGACGCUUAACAGACUGAGCCCCCCAGGUGCCCCACCAGCUUUCUUUUGCUUACUAUUUGCGUGGGCUAUGUUUUUCCAUCUUUCCCAUUUCAAAUUAAAAUGUCUUUAGAUUUAUUUAUUUAUUUUAUUUUUUAAAGAUUUUAUUUUAUUUUUAGAGAGAGAACACGAGUAGGGGAGAGUAGCAGAGGGAGAAGGGGAGAGAGAAUCCCACUAAUUAAAAAAACUGAGAUUUCAGGACUAUAGAUGACAAAGAAUACAGACUUUAUAGUUUAGAAAAGUCAAUAAACAACUGCCACCCAAAACAAGUGACAAAAACAAAGGAAUUUUGAAUUUUUCCGGUAAAUGUGAAUACUUUCCUGUUUUUAUGCCUGCUUUAUAAAUUUUGGUUGAACAUUGAAAUGUUGGCCAUUUCAAAUUUGUAAUGUAGCAACCAGAAAUCUGAUUCCAACUCCGUUUACUUCUAUUUAUUUUUGGUGUUGUUACCAUACUUAUCGUGUGUUUUCCUUCUGUAGACAUCACAGGACACUUAUAUUAUUGUUGCGUUAAACAAUCAUUGUUCUUUUAUAUUUAUCCUUUCCCUUGUUCCUCAUUCUUGCCUGUAGCUCCCUGCUUCCAUCUGCCAUCUCUUCCUUUCAGCCUGGAGAACUCCUUUCAGUAUUGCUUGUGUUGCAGGUCUGCUGGUGACAGAUACCUUCCGCUCCUAAUUAUCUGAAAUGUCUUUUCUUUGUCUUUAUUUUUCCUUCAAACUCUCUAAGCUUGCUGAAUUUGUGGGGCAGUGUGUGUUUAGCUUUGGAAAACUCUUGGCUGCGCUUUCUUCAGUUUCAUGUGAGUCUGGUCCAUUUGACAUGGCUUACAUGCCUUUUAUAUACUCUGUUCCGUUCUUCCCAUUCUGUUACUUUUUGUGCUUCAAUUUAUGUUUGUUUUUUUAUUGACUUGCCUUCUGUUGACUAAUCCUAUCUUCUGUUGUAUGUAGUGUCCUGUUAAAUCCGUCUGUUGGUCCGUGAAUUAACAGUAUCAGUAAUACCAGGGAGCUUAAAAAGAAAUGCAGUAUCUCUCUCAGGCCCCUUGCCAGAAUCCGUGAAUAAGAAUCUUUUCUUUUUCAACAAAAAUCAUGCUUUUCAAGCUUUUCAACAAAAACCGUGGAAGCCAAAAGACAAUCUCCAGGUUGUUAUUAUGAACGUUAAAUUUUGAAAAAUACUAAUCUGCCUCAUUCUAGCUUAUUCAGUUAGGGGAAACAAAAACCUGUUUAUUU